CACGUAGGGCGCAAGCGUUGUCCGGAAUUAUUGGGCGUAAAGAGCUCGUAGGCGGUCUGUUGCGUCCGCUGUGAAAACCCGGGGCUUAACCCUGGGCUGGCAGUGGAUACGGACAGACUAGAGGUAGGUAGGGGAGAAUGGAAUUCCCGGUGUAGCGGUGAAAUGCGCAGAUAUCGGGAGGAACACCGGUGGCGAAGGCGGUUCUCUGGGAAUAUCCUGACGCUGAGGAGCGAAAGUGUGGGGAGCGAACAGG
rnacentral:rRNA from 1 species